UACAUUUGUUGUUUUUCCGCUUUUGACUCUUAGUGCCAUCUAAUGGCGAGUGGCUAUAAGCAGCAAGUAGGUUAGGGAAGCAGCCGUGUCAUGGUCAAGCUUUCGAACACAAAACCAAUCCUCGUAUCAUCUGUGAGCCUUGGCAAUUCAUAAUCUUUUUACAGUAAAAAUGUGUCUCAGUAAAGAACAGAAGACAACGUCA